ACUUUAUAUACGUAUAUUUAUCAGUUAUAUGUAAAAAUAAUUGUAUUUUUCAUUUCCUCUAUACCAUCCUAGGAGAGAAAGAUGAAGAUAUAGUGGAGAUUACAGUAAAGAAGCAUAGGUAAUUAAGUUGUAAGGAAAAAUAUACCUCACUCUACUGAUGUAAAGUUGGAAUAUUUUGAGCAACACUGUUCUUCUGGAAAGUUUUGGAUUUGAAUUUUGGUUUUGGUUUGUUAUUAUUGUUGUUUCCUUGUGUAUUUUUUUUUAUUUUGUUUUGCCUACUAACUUGAAAUUUAAUUUUUAAUCCCUGCAUGGAUUUAGACACCUCUGCAAAGCCUUACAGUGCACCUGCUGAGAUGAAGCUGGCACCAAGCCACACAUACUGACCUGACCCUUUCCCAUCCACAUUCAGUCAGGUGAGUAACUUUCACCACAUAAAGGGUUGAACAAGCCUCCUAGUGUCUGUCUUACAAUCAGCUGUUAAUUUGAAGGUGUUAACAUGCACCAUCUGGUCCUGCAAGGAUGGGAUUAGUCAAGCAUAUCAUUACCACUAAUAACUUGUUGAAUGAAAAGUAAAAAUGAAAGCUGAGGAAAUCUGCUAGGGUGUAACUGCUUCAAAAUUAACUUUCCAGCAUUUCUGUGUUAUGGAAUGUCCUAUUUGCCAGGAAACAUGAAGAACCAAUGAACAGAUGAUGUAUUUUUUGACAAAAAAAGUGUAGGGUUCUUUUUCCUGCUGUCGCUGUUGACUGCUCUUUGUUCUGUGCCCCUUGUCUCUGCCAGCCCACUGGACAGAGCUGGCUGUGCAGCUGCAGAAGUCCUUUCCCAGCCAGCAUGCCCACAUUGUGGCCUUUGCCACAGAACCAAAGUCUCCGUGGAAAGAACAAUCAUCCUGUUCAUGCUUUUGGAGAUGCUUCUUAAAUAUCUGUCAAAACCAAAUUGCUCAGCAUGAACAUGUGCAUUCUGACUCUAUUUAUAUGAAAGCACAGCAAAGUGCGGAUGACACACCUCCACACUGAGGCCCAGCGCAGGAAGGAGUCAUGCUUUUCAGCCAGAUUCUUUCUAGGUCACCAGUGCUUUGGAUGAAGAUGUCAGGAUCCUGCAUCUGUUCUUGUAUCUUGCCAGAUGUCUCAAGGUGAGAUAAGAGGAUUCAUGCAGCGAAGGAAAAAAAUUUAUCUGUACUGUGUUUUUUUGUGAGCCAGCUAAAAAUAAAUAAAUAAAUCAGGCCUCCCUUGGCAAACUGAAUGCUAUGAAGAGGUUUCACUUGGCUUGGAUUUACCUAUAUUUAGUAAAGAAUUUAACAAUAUACUAGAAAGAAUAUCCUUUGUUUAACUUCUUUUAAACCUUUUCCCUUGCUGAUCUGAAAAUACAAGUGUGCUGCAAAUAUUGCCAAAAUUAUGAUUGUCUUAAAAAUCUUUUGAGAAGAACUGACAGUGACAGCUAAUAUCCCCAGUAAAAUGUUGUGGUUUGGCUUUGAUUUGUGGUUAGCUGUGGCUAGAGUGGCAGCUGGAGGUACAAUUUGCAGAAGUACUUCCAAAAUUAUGAUUCAUUUCCAGUUGUAGUUGGACAGAUUGAACUGGGUUCAGACUUGGUUUCAUUCUUUCUUCUGAAAUACCUGUAUCUUGUACUGUUUCUGCAUUUCAAAGGUUCUCUUGUUCUCUCCACCGUCAUAGUUAUGCAGUUGUAAUUCUUUCAUAAAGAAUGGCUCUAGAAGGCCAAUAAAUAAAUAAUUCAUGGCAUACCCCCUAAAUGUCUGCUUUCUGGAUAGUUUGAAGGCUGUAUGUUAGCAGGAGGCUUGGGUUACACUGGGACAUUUUUUAACUGACAGUCACACUUUUAAAAUGAAUAAUUGUGUUUGAUCAUAAUAGCAGCCAGUCUGCAAGGACUCAUAAAUUCCACUGAGUUACCAGAGAUAUAGCUUAGUCUCCUUGGAAUCCAUAAUGCAUUUUUAAUCGGACUAUUAUGGCUCCAUGG
ensembl:lncRNA